rnacentral:rRNA from 1 species
UUGCUCUUCAACGAGGAAUACCUAGUAAGCGUGAGUCAUCAGCUCGCGUUGAUUACGUCCCUGCCCUUUGUACACACCGCCCGUCGCUACUACCGAUUGAAUGGCUUAGUGAGGCCUUGGGAUUGGCUUCGGGGAGCCGGCAACGGCACCCUGUUGCUGAGAACUUGGUCAAACUUGGUCAUUUAGAGGAAGUAAAAGUCGUAACAAGGUUUCCGUAGGUGAACCUGCGGAAGGAUCAUUAACGAGUAACUGAACGGGUUGUAGCUGGCCUCUCGGGGCAUGUGCACACCUGGCUCAUCCACUCUUCAACCUCUGUGCACUUGUUGUAGGUCGGCAGAAGGGCGAGCCUUAAAACAGCUCGCUUGGAAGCCUUCCUAUGUUUUACCACAAACGCUUCAGUUUAAGAAUGUAACCUGCGUAUAACGCAACUAUAUACAACUUUCAGCAACGGAUCUCUUGGCUCUCGCAUCGAUGAAGAACGCAGCGAAAUGCGAUAAGUAAUGUGAAUUGCAGAAUUCAGUGAAUCAUCGAAUCUUUGAACGCACCUUGCGCCCCCUGGUAUUCCGGGGAGCAUGCCUGUUUGAGUGUCAUGGUAUCCUCAUCCUUCAUAACUUUUUGUUAUCGAAGGCAUGGACUUGGAGGUCGUGCUGGUUCCUCGUUGAAUCGGCUCCUCUUAAAUGGAUUAGCGUGAGUGUAACGGAUCGCUUCGGUGUGAUAAUUAUCUGCGCCGUGGUCGUGAAGUAACAUAAGCUUGCGCUUCUAACCGUCCUUAAGUUGGACAACAUAACUUUGACAUCUGACCUCAAAUCAGGUAGGACUACCCGCUGAACUUAAGCAUAUCAAUAAGCGGAGGA